GGCCAGGUAGCUCAGUGGUUAAAGUGCCUGGCAUAUACUGUAUUAAGGGGAGCUGGGUUCAAAUCCCAACAUAAUCA